UUAGUGUCUGGUGAUUAAGAUGUGGUCCUCAGCUGUGGUCAGAAGGCAUGGAACACUAACAGACCACUCGUGCCAGGGAGCACUGUUGGAGAGAAUCCAGGCACUAGCCCCCAACCCUCGACUGUCUCAUAGCCGAGGAGCCCCUGGAUGGUGAUGGCAACCGACUCUGUUGGCUCUCGGUCCCAGAAGGAGCUGUCAACCAGAAUCCCAACCUGGAGCUCCCAGGGAGGAUGGCUCCUCUUCUCUCCCCAGCCCAGCAGCGAGCAGCUUGGGUGUGGAUGACUCCGGUGCACCUGAAAACAGGGAAGAGCCAAAUUAGCAGACGUUUCUUCAAAUCAAGUUGUGUCCUGUUUUGCAGGCAGGUCUCUGUCCCGGCUGGCGGUCAAUGGUCCACACCUAUUUGGGAUGUCUCGGCGGGGAGAUUUCAAUGUCCUCCAUCCCGGGUGACG